AUGCAUGGGGGGGAGCAGCAAGGACUGGGGGUGCCCGCCGGAGCGGCCACAGAAGGAGCACUGAUGCCUUCGCGGGGCCUCCGCCAUUCCGGGGGCUGGAGGAGGAAGGGGUCUCCUUCAACUCUUGAUUGCCAGUGUCUGAAGGCACCCCGAUUUACUUUCAAUGCUCCUUUCUCCUCGGUCUGCUCUUUCCUGAAAGGAGCCACCGAGUUGUGGAACAUUGCCCCCACCUCUUCAAGGAGGUGCCCUGUGCCUAGAAGGGGAACCAGUGGAUUGUGUAUGUCAACCUUAAAAGCUUCGCCCUCAAGCUACCUGCGCCCUUCCUCCAGACGCUGGCUGGGUGAUCUAUUGCCAAAGGCUGUUAAGAGUUUUUCAGGACCUCUGCGCGAGCAUCCAACAUCCCUGAAGUGGCCUGAGCCGUCAAGCAAGACAAACGCUGGCCGGAAUUCAAGGGAAAUAGCGCACCUUCAGCCGGUUGGAGGGAGCGUCAGGCUCUGCCCAGGAAACUCACCAGGGAAGUACAGACCCUUACUGGCACCACUGCCUGCCACUGCGGCUCUAAGGACUCUCUGGGCCCUGGGCGCUAGCCCAUGUGGGCCACCACCGUGUAGCCAGGGGCAGUCACCACUAUUCUCAGCAACAUGGGGCAGGGUUUAAAAACUAUAUGGGGGAUCCCUGGGUGGCGCAGUGGUUUGGCGCCUGCCUUUGGCCCGGGGCGUGAUCCUGGAGACCCGGGAUCGAAUCCCACAUCGGGCUCCUGGUGCAUGGAGCCUGCUUCUCCCUCUGCCUGUGUCUCUGCCUCUCUCUGUGUGUGUGUGACUAUCAUAAAUAAAUAAAAAUUAAAAAAAAAAUAAAAAUAAAAA
rnacentral:lncRNA from 12 species